rnacentral:rRNA from 1 species
UUCCGGUUGAUCCUGCCGGACCCCACCGCUAUCGGGGUGGGACUAAGCCAUGCGAGUCGCGCGUCCCCGGGCUAUGGCGGGGAAGCGGCAUACGGCUCAGUAAAACAUGGCUAACCUACCCUCAGGACGGGGAUAACUCCGGGAAACUGGAGCUAAUCCUCGAUGGGUGAGACGGCCUGGAAUGGUGUCUCGCCUAAAGGGGCCUGAAACCAUGCCUUUCAGGUUCUGCCUGAGGAUGGGGCCAUGUCCGAUCAGGUUGUUGGCGGGGUAACGGCCCGCCAAGCCUGUAACCGGUACGGGCCGUGAGAGCGGGAGCCCGGAGAUGGACCCUGAGACAAGGGCCCAGGCCCUACGGGGCGCAGCAGGCGCGAAACCUCCGCAAUGCGGGAAACCGUGACGGGGCCACCCCGAGUGCCACCCGCUGAGGGUGGCUUUUCCCCGGUCUAAACAGCCGGGGGAAUAAGGGGAGGGCAAGCCUGGUGUCAGCCGCCGCGGUAAUACCAGCUCCCCGAGUGGUGGGGACGAUUAUUGGGCCUAAAGCGCCCGUAGCCGGCCUGGUAAGUCCUCCGUUAAACCCGGCGGUCUAACCGUCGGAUCGCGGGGGAUACUGCUAGGCUAGGGGGUGGGAGAGGCCGGCGGUACUCCCGGGGUAGGGGUGAAAUCCUAUAAUCCCGGGAGGACCACCAGUGGCGAAGGCGGCCGGCUAGAACACGCCCGACGGUGAGGGGCGAAAGCUGGGGGAGCGAACCGGAUUAGAUACCCGGGUAGUCCCAGCUGUAAACGAUGCGGGCUAGGUGUCGGAAUGGUCUUAGAACCGUUCCGGUGCCGCAGGGAAGCCGUUAAGCCCGCCGCCUGGGGAGUACGGCCGCAAGGCUGAAACUUAAAGGAAUUGGCGGGGGGGCACCACAAGGGGUGAAGCCUGCGGUUUAAUUGGAUUCAACGCCGG